UGAUCGAACAGGUACUGAAAGAAUGAAAAACGCAGCAGCCCACCUUCGGUCCAUCGUCGUCCCCGCCCGGACCAAACCCUCGGCCGCCGCGCAAUAUCGACGGCGGUGCGCCUCAUUUCAUCGCUCCAUGGCUCGUUGCUCACCUCGACGGUGUCGUGGACGCAGUGGUGCUACUGCAUCGCCUCCUUCCCGUGCUUACAGGUUGGCCUCCUCCUUAGCCCCUUCUGUCCCGAGUAGGACAGCAUCCUGCACAGAUCGUUCACCGCCACUAUCCCGGGCAGUUCACCAUGGUCACCCUUGGCCAUUCACCCCUGAUCCCGACUUCCCUUCCAUUCCUCAGGUACGUGCGCCACACCCAGUCCGCCCAAUUCGGUCGUCUGCUAUGUCGCUUAGCAUUUCUUUAUUGUCUAUCGUCGAAAUUUCGCUAGCGGUCUGGCUGGCGAGAGGCUGCUUGCUUUCAAGGCUUGUCUCUAUGCUGCUGCUUGCUGAAUUCCGAGGGCGAUUAAUGAUCUCGGCAGGGGGAGAAUUGGUGUUUUGUUUAGCCCAGUUCAGUUUAAGGAGGAGUGUGUAUGUAGGAGAUCUUCAGUGCUUUGUCUUGUAUCACCAUUCACGUGGGUGAAGCAUAAUCUAGUCUGUAAAAAGGUCAAUUUUGCCGCCGCUGGUUGGAUUUUGGGGCCUGCAACAGUUCACAUCUAGAUAUUUUUCUCCAUUUUUGCAUUUUAGUUUUGCACCAUCUCCGUUUGCCUGUGUAUAUAUACCUAGAUGUGCUAAUAAUCAGUUUGACUGUAUCAUUUCAACUAGUUAAAAUUGUCUCAGUUCAUCUAUUUAAAUUGUCUUAGUUCCACUAUAUUUAUUGUGCCAAAAAAGUAAAAAUAUUAGUUAAUCAUGCUUCCAUUUCCUACAAACAAAAAAUGAUCUCUGAAGAUUAUGUCUUUCACUUUCCCCUCGCCUCCCGGGUCGCACGCGCGUGCGGCUCCGGAGGCUCCCCCAACCCUAGAACAGCCAAGCCUCAGAUCGCCUCCCCCGGCCCCUAUCGGUGGCGGCCGCGCCCGGCUGCCGAAGGCGUCGGGUGCGGGCGGUGCCCCCCAACGGAUCCCCUUAGCGCGGAGCGGGACGUCUCCGGGGCGGCCAUGGUGGUGGGGUGGCCGGCGGCCUGAUUCGCGACUAUGAUCGUCGGCGCACGGCGGAGAGCGCGAUGGAGAGGCGGGUCCAGGCGAGCUGCUGCAGAGUGGUGGAGGUUGGUGGUGCGCGGGCGCUGAUGGUGGCGGUGGCGCCGAGGAGGCCCAGCCAGGAAGGAGAUCCUGCGGGCAGCGAGCGGCCGGCUGCCUCCUCAUGAGGGGCUUGCGGUGGUGCUCUCGGAGGCGCGGGCGCUGGAUUGUGGAUGGAGGUGCGGGCCGGAUCUGAAUCAUCUCAGAUUCGAUCUGGGUCUUUGGUGUUGUCUCUAUCGCCUGGCAGUCCCUGGUGCGGGUGAAGGCCGACAUGGUGGAGUAGGCCCUUGCACGGCAUGGCAGGAUGCGGCGGCUCCUCGUCUGGAUUGUUGGUGGCGUGUUCUCUCGGCAGUGCUGGUGUUGGAGGAUCUCGACUGUGCAACUUCGUCGGUAAUUUGCUGCGGUGACGGCAGUGCGAGGAUUCAUGGACAGUGCCUCCCCAAACCUUGAGGUGUGGAGAUGAGUGACAUUACGGAUGAAAAUCCUGUCCAGUUCUAGCCGGGCAGGCGGCAAUGGCACCUGCGGGUGUUGUUCCCCUCCCUGGAGGCGUCGCCGAGUGUGUCGCUAUUUUCCUUGUCUUCUUGGUGUUGGCCAUUGUCUCCGGGCGAAAGCCUUGAUUCGGUGUGGGAUCGGCAUGAUGGCAGCGUCUUCGAUGUCGUCUCUCUGUUGAGAGCAUUGUGCCAAGAGACAUGGUUUGGAGGUACUAUGUUGCGCUCCAUCGGUGUUCGCCGCUGCCCUAGUUCGUUCUCUCUGGCGCAAUGUAUGGUCGUCGGUGGUGAAUCCAAGACGGUGCCUUUCUCAGGUCGGAUCGAGUCCUGCCAUCCUGUUGCCACCUCCUUUAGGCAUCAAGGGGGGAUGGUGCGGUGUCGAGGGAAGCUUGGCGAGAGCUGCUGUUCUUUGGAGGUGACUGACGUCGGUCGAGACGCGGCGAGGUUUCGAAUUAAGGUAGGGCCUUUUGCGUCGUAGUUGUGUUGUCGUUGCUGGCUGUCCUUGGACUAGCCGGUUGUGGAGUGGGUGCUACGCUCGUUGUUCGCAGCGAGUGGUAAUCAUUUUGUACUUGCAAUUCUCUUCUUCUAUAAAGCUAUGGUACGUAAUUUGCGUACUCUCAAAAAAAAGAUUAUAUCUUUCCCUUGCAUAACAACACAUGGAAUUACUUCUACAGACCCGGCUAGUGUGAGCGACAAAAUGAAAAUCACACUACAUAAGGAAAAUAAUUCUACACCGUGUAUCAACCCCCAAGCCACUCACAUUUGUUAAAGCUGGACUUUUGUCGCAUAAACAACAAUAUCAGGCAUUCAGGAUGUUGUCCAUCAUCCUUAAAAAGUGAGUUUAUUCCUUACAUAUAUGUACUAGUGACACUACUCUUGCAUAAAAUUUCUCCUUUUGCAAAAAGUAGUUUGUGCAAAAAGAAGCAAAAGUCAUGUUUACCUGGUCUGCAAAAAUGAUGCUUGCUAGGUGUUUGUUCUAAUGCCUAUGUGAACAGAACACUUUUAUUUCUUGUUUUCUUUAUACUGAGAAGAAACCUUGUGAAGGUUUAGGGAAACAGAAGGGCUCACCAACAAAACCCACUAAAAAAGUUUAGAAUAAUAUUGGGGAGGAUCAAGUGCAAGAAUACAAAAAGUUCAGAGUUGAGAUAGCGGAAUAGUUCAUAGGCCUCUCCCGUUCACAAACGCAUGCCACUGGCCACUUGAGAUGUGCUGCCACCAUCGCCCAUCUAAAAUCACAGUGACUAUCAAGUUUCUUUGUCAAAAGCUUGCAUCGAUGGCUAACUCCGUACUAUUAUUUUACCUACUAUUAUGCUAAUGUUGUAUUGGUGCUCUUGCUUAUUAAGGCAUGCAUAAAUAGUUAAUCUUGAACUGGAUGUGCUAUUCUAUGUUCGGUGACUGGAGCAUUUCUUUAAUGGAUGUGUGCUUUGGCUGAGGACGUCAACGUUGUGUUGUUUUCAUACUUUCGACAAAAAAUAUCUAUAAGUUCAAAAUGUAUAACCCUAUAAGUUCACUGAAAAACAAAAAACAAAGAAAAUAGUGCAUGAGCAAGUAGCCGCCCCUGGACGUCAGCGUUAUGUUGUUUUUAUACUUUCAGCUCACAUUGUAGCUUUUUUCAGUUCAAUGGAUUCCAAAAAGGGAAAAACUAUGGAUGGGUGAUGAAUCAACUUCCUGUACUGUUGUGCCAUCAGUAUUGGACGAGCCCGACCACCGGCACCACCGCUUCCCGACCUCCUGCUUUCAUCGCCAUCUCCCGGUGGGGCUCUGCCGCCGGAGCACCCUGGCCGUUCACAGCCACCACUCCAGGUUGUUCAACGCCACCACCCCAGGUCGUUCAUUGCCAGCAGCACCCUGGAUCCCACCCCUCACCCUAGGAGUUCCAGUUAUCGAAUGGGAGAAGGAAAUCAGUCCAACAGGCGCAUCUAAAGUGACAUGUCAUGCACCGCCCACUCGUCCUCAAGUUGCUCGUUGUGUCGUGUCGGCUUGCCAUCAACCACAGUUGUGGCUCAACCCCCACAAUGAGCUGGCUAAUUGGUUGCUGCUCCUGCGUGCUGCAAAAAAGCUAAAAAAAGUCACUUUUCUAGUUUCAAAAUUUGAGAUGAUGAUUCAGUUCAGAAAAAUGGAUAUUUGCCAAAAACAAUUAAGAAGUUCAGGUCAUCCCUACAACAGCGUCGAGCUCGCACUCCACGACCGCUGGCGCCCCCAACCUAACGCCGUCAGACCCUCAUUCUCUGGCCACCGCGCUGCCUGGAUCCAACGAGGCUGCGUCGCACCGGCCUCGGAUCCACCUGCCUCCAUGCCAUCACCUGCCUGCGUCAGCCCCGGCCCCGGAUCCCCCUCCAACACAAUUCGUGCCAUGGACAAGUGUCUUGUUUUGUUGUGGAUCCCGUCCUCGGCAUUCACGAGCGCGAGCACCCCGUGUUCGGCGGCGAGAUGAAGGCCACCCGUGAUGCCCAGAACAAGAACGACCACCUACAGUUCCCAGUGGUCGCCUUAGCCACCCUCGGCCACGAGCUCGUCCACCAUGGUUACUUGCAGCUGUCCAAGUGGAGCGCGGACAUCAGUCCAAGUAGAAUCGCGGCUACCAUCUUCACCAAGCACUGCACAACCGUCCAAGUCGAGCACACACAACAGUCCAAGGAAAAACUUUUGUCAGGUUUUUGGUGGCCAGGUAUUAUUGAUAUAGAGAUGAAUGACUAUGCGCUUCGGUUGUUCUUCUGGAAAAGACAAGUUGCCAUGCUUUACUUUAUGAGCUUUCUAAUUUGCAUACUUCUAAGUUAUUGCUUACUGCCACUAGUGAAUUGCGCAAGUUCAAUGGGUGUCAUCGAGCAUGUUCAGAAGUAUGCCCUUCGUGCGGAAGUGUGAUUGUUUUCAAUAUUUUGUAUAUUUCAAUUGGCAGAGGCUUCAUGCCAUUUCGUGGAGCUUUAUAAAUGUACUGUAAUUACACUUUUAAGGCCCUAAGAGUGCAUUAUAUCAUACAUGUGUGGCCGUUCCGUAUUUCUACUUCUUUACCUUUUUUGUAUAUUUCAUUUGGCAGAUGCUUCAUGUGAUCUUGUGGAGCUUUAUA